rnacentral:rRNA from 1 species
AAACCAACAGGGAUUGCCUUAGUAACGGCGAGUGAAGCGGCAAAAGCUCAAAUUUGAAAUCGGUCAACAGAUCGAGUUGUAAUUUGUAGAUUGUAUUUUGAGAUAUGGAUUUAAGUCUGUUGGAACACAGCGCCAUUGAGGGUGACAGCCCCGUUUAUCUUUUCUCAUUGUAAAAUACUUUCGAAGAGUCGAGUUGUUUGGGAAUGCAGCUCUAAGUGGGAGGUAAAUUCCUUCUAAAGCUAAAUAUUGGCGAGAGACCGAUAGCGAACAAGUACUGUGAAGGAAAGAUGAAAAGAACUUUGAAAAGAGAGUGAAAAAGUACGUGAAAUUGUUAAAAGGGAAGGGUACUGCAUCAGACAUGGUUUAUGCUGUUCAGCAAUUUUUCGGAGUUGUGUAUUCAGUAUUUACUAGGCCAAGAUGGGGUAUGUUUGUAGGAAAAAACUUUAGGAAAGUGGCUCUUCGGAGUGUUAUAGCUUAUUGUAAUACUACAUAACGUGCCUCAGGACUGCGCUUCGGCUAGGAUUUUGGCGUAAUGAUACAGUACCGCCCG